rnacentral:rRNA from 1 species
AUUGAACGCUGUCGGCAGGCCUAACACAUGCAAGUCGAACGAGUGGCGGACGGGUGAGUAAUGUCUGGGAAACUGCCUGAUGGAGGGGGAUAACUACUGGAAACGGUAGCUAAUACAGCAUAGCAUCAGAUGUGCCCAGGUGGGAUUAGCUUGGUGGGGGGGUAACGGCUCACCAAGGCGACGAUCCCUAGCUGGGCUGAGAGGAGGACCAGCCACAAUGGAACUGAGACACGGUCCAGACCCUUACGGGAGGCAGAAGUGGGGAAUAUUGCCCAAUGGGCGCAAGCCUGAUGCAGCAAUGCCGGGUGUAUGAAGAAGGCCUUAGGAUUGUAAAGUACUUGCAGCGGGGAGGCGUUACCCGCAGAAGAAGCACCGGCUAACUCCGAGCCAGCAGCCGCGGUAAUAC